rnacentral:rRNA from 1 species
GGUGCGUAGGCGGUCUUUCAAGUCAGGAGUGAAAGGCUACGGCUCAACCGUAGUAAGCUCUUGAAACUGGGAGACUUGAGUGCAGGAGAGGAGAGUGGAAUUCCUAGUGUAGCGGUGAAAUGCGUAGAUAUUAGGAGGAACACCAGUUGCGAAGGCGGCUCUCUGGACUGUAACUGACGCUGAGGCACGAAAGCGUGGGGAGCAAACA